rnacentral:rRNA from 1 species
UAAGCGUGUAGGCUGGUUUUCCAGGCAAAUCCGGAAAAUCAAGGCUGAGGCGUGAUGACGAGGCACUACGGUGCUGAAGCAACAAAUGCCCUGCUUCCAGGAAAAGCCUCUAAGCAUCAGGUAACAUCAAAUCGUACCCCAAACCGACACAGGUGGUCAGGUAGAGAAUACCAAGGCGCUUGAGAGAACUCGGGUGAAGGAACUAGGCAAAAUGGUGCCGUAACUUCGGGAGAAGGCACGCUGAUAUGUAGGUGAAGUCCCUCGCGGAUGGAGCUGAAAUCAGUCGAAGAUACCAGCUGGCUGCAACUGUUUAUUAAAAACACAGCACUGUGCAAACACGAAAGUGGACGUAUACGGUGUGACGCCUGCCCGGUGCCGGAAGGUUAAUUGAUGGGGUCAGCGCAAGCGAAGCUCUUGAUCGAAGCCCCGGUAAACGGCGGCCGUAACUAUAACGGUCCUAAGGUAGCGAAAUUCCUUGUCGGGUAAGUUCCGACCUGCACGAAUGGCGUAAUGAUGGCCAGGCUGUCUCCACCCGAGACUCAGUGAAAUUGAACUCGCUGUGAAGAUGCAGUGUACCCGCGGCAAGACGGAAAGACCCCGUGAACCUUUACUAUAGCUUGACACUGAACAUUGAGCCUUGAUGUGUAGGAUAGGUGGGAGGCUUUGAAGUGUGGACGCCAGUCUGCAUGGAGCCGACCUUGAAAUACCACCCUUUAAUGUUUGAUGUUCUAACGUGGACCCGUGAUCCGGGUUGCGGACAGUGUCUGGUGGGUAGUUUGACUGGGGCGGUCUCCUCCUAAAGAGUAACGGAGGAGCACGAAGGUUGGCUAAUCCUGGUCGGACAUCAGGAGGUUAGUGCAAUGGCAUAAGCCAGCUUGACUGCGAGCGUGACGGCGCGAGCAGGUGCGAAAGCAGGUCAUAGUGAUCCGGUGGUUCUGAAUGGAAGGGCCAUCGCUCAACGGAUAAAAGGUACUCCGGGGAUAACAGGCUGAUACCGCCCAAGAGUUCAUAUCGACGGCGGUGUUUGGCACCUCGAUGUCGGCUCAUCACAUCCUGGGGCUGAAGUAGGUCCCAAGGGUAUGGCUGUUCGCCAUUUAAAGUGGUACGCGAGCUGGGUUUAGAACGUCGUGAGACAGUUCGGUCCCUAUCUGCCGUGGGCGCUGGAGAACUGAGGGGGGCUGCUCCUAGUACGAGAGGACCGGAGUGGACGCAUCACUGGUGUUCGGGUUGUCAUGCCAAUGGCACUGCCCGGUAGCUAAAUGCGGAAGAGAUAAGUGCUGAAAGCAUCUAAGCACGAAACUUGCCCCGAGAUGAGUUCUCCCUGACCCUUUAAGGGUCCUGAAGGAACGUUGAAGACGACGACGUUGAUAGGCCGGGUGUGUAAGCGCAGCGAUGCGUUGAGCUAACCGGUACUAAUGAACCGUGAGGCUUAACCUUACAACGCCGAAGGUGUUU